CACACACACACACACACACACACACACACAAAUAGAACAGUCAGAAACAGAAACAGACAACGAGAUCAUCAUACUUACCCCUUUCAUACUUACUUACUUACUUUUCCAUCAAUCUUCUCGGCCCAUAUUGUGUAGCUCUUUUGCCU
rnacentral:ribozyme from 1 species